rnacentral:tRNA from 1 species
GCCUGGGUGGCUCAGUCGGUGAAGCGUCUGACUUCAGCUCAGGUCAUGAAUUCACUGCUCAUGAGUUCGAGCCCCACAUCAGGCU